rnacentral:rRNA from 1 species
UACGUAGGGUGCGAGCGUUGUCCGGAAUUAUUGGGCGUAAAGAGCUCGUAGGCGGUUUGUCGCGUCGACUGUGAAAACCUGGGGGCUUAACUCUGGGCCUGCAGUCGAUACGGGCAGACUUGAGUUCGGUAGGGGAGACUGGAAUUCCUGGUGUAGCGGUGAAAUGCGCAGAUAUCAGGAGGAACACCGGUGGCGAAGGCGGGUCUCUGGGCCGAUACUGACGCUGAGGAGCGAAAGCGUGGGGAGCGAACAGG